GCGCAGCCUGGUAGCGCACCGUCAUGGGGUGUCGGGGGUCGGAGGUUCAAAUCCUCUCGUGCCGACCA
rnacentral:tRNA from 1 species